GGGUACAGGUCAGGUAUGCUGCUAGGCAUCUUCCAAUGCACAGAAAAGCCCCACAACAAAGAAUUAUCUGGCCCUGAAUGCCAGUAGUGCCAAGGUUCAGUGUCUUCAUCUGUUUGAGCUGCUGUAAUAAAAUAGCAUAGACUGGAUAGUUUAUAAAUAACAGAAAUUCAUUUCUCACAGUUCUGGAGGCCAGGAAGUCCAAGAUCAAGGUGCCAGCAGAUUUGAUGUCUGGUGAGGGAUACUUCCUGGUUCAUAAAUAGCCAUCUUCUGUUUUUGUCUUCACAUGAUGGAACGGCCAAAAGCCACUGAAGAGAUUUAAGCAGAUAUGAAUUACAUUUUUUGAAAAACACUCCAGCUGCUCAAUGGAGAAUGGAUUCUGUGAAGGCUUGAAUAAGAGUGACAGUACUAGAGAUGGGCAUGGAAAGAGGAGGUGGGACUAACAGAGCAGUGAAUCACUCCCCACAAAACAGCAAAACAGGAGGGAACUGAGUUAUUUGUUGGCAGCUCAAGACACUGGAGAAGAUGACGGGCCAGGAAGUCGAAAGAAGGUGAGAGGUUGAGGAGAGAAGAGGGGAGCUGGGGAGAAGCUCUGGCCACGUGGAAACCGGUAGAGCCUCCAGAAGACUGCAACCAAGGAGGAAUUCCUUGUGGCAAGAAAUGUCUGAUGUUGAAUGUUAGAUGGUUUUCUGCUCUGUGCUGGGAUGAUACAACCUGACUCAACUCUUCAGUUGAUUGUUCCCUACUAACAGCACCCGGGGUUAGUGUUGCUUUGGUUGAAAGGAAGCAUGAAAAAGUUCUAUGAUUUCAUUUUUUUUUUUUUACAUCCAACUCUUUAAUCCAUUUAGAAUUUAUUUUGAUAUAAAGAAUGAGGUGGAACAUUAGCUUAAUUUUUCUCCUGAAGGUUAGCCAAUGAUCUGACCAUUUUUUAAAUGAUUUUAAAUGCCACCUCGACAUUAUAUUAAAUUAUACUAAUUGCUCAAGUAUACUUUGGUCUAUGCUUGUCUGGAAGAGACAUUCCAAUGUUCCCUCUCUCUUUUAGCUUUAAUAAUAAGCUUUCAAAUUCAUCUGGACUCAUGAUUCUUCUAAAUCAUUACUAUGUCUCCCAACUUCUUUUGCUGCUAGCUAUGACCAUUGAGAUAGAAGCAGGAAUGAUGUAUGUAGCUUUCAGGAUGGUCCUGAAUAAGAGGGGCCAUGCUCCUUUUCACCCCUUUUCCUCCUUUCUGACAACUGUGAUGUAAAUAAAAAGAACUCUGGCAGCCAUCUUGGACCAUGA